GUAGUUGUGGCCGAGUGGUUAUGAUGAUGGAUUAGGAAUCCAUUGGGGUCUCCCUGCACAGGUUCAAAUCCUGCCAACUACA